ensembl:lncRNA
UCAUACAGGCAAAAGCCCUCAUUUGUUACUUUUCAAUUACAUUUCAAUUGGAAUAAUAUGAAUUUUAAUACAUCGUUUUGUGAAUCAAUAGCACAACCAGAUCACAUCUCUGCUGAAGUAGCACUAUUUUUUUGAAUACUCGCCAAGUCCCAGAGAUUGGAAAACAGAGUAAAAUCUGUAUUAAAGAUUUGUUGUGGUUCCACCAUCUUUGCGUAGCUCCGCUUUGCUGCUUUCACUCGGUAAGGAGCUGAGUUUAUGGUCUGUGUGGUUCAGGGUCAUUUGCCAUGGUAACAGUGGACCAGGUCAGAAGGUGAUUGGCUUAGCUGAGAAGGGUGCUGGCGGCUGUUUGUUGAUUCUCUGAUAGGGGUGACCUACCCCUGACCUCCACACAAAUCAAUACUGCCUCCUUAAACUUUCAUUUGUCCUCAUUUGGUCAUGCUCACCCGCGCUUGGGAGCAAUUAAAGUGUGUCUUUUUAAAUCUAGAAAAAGCACGGCUUUACCGCAAACCGAAUUUAGAUGGAGACAUCUUUAUGCACUAUUAUUCAUAUAUUGAAAGUUGCAAUGUUACUGUACUCUUAAGAAGCUCUAAGAAAAUAUUGGUUUGCUUAGAUUUGCUGUAUGUCCGGGUUUUUACGUCUGUAGCGUAAUCUAAAAUAGAAAUGGAAACUGGCCUGGCUCUUUUUUUUUUUUUUUUUAAGAGUAGGCGAACAGAAGGUUAGUAAAUUUCCAGUCACAUGGUGAUUUCACAGAAUGAUUUUGUGUUCUGUUUAUAGAGAAUUUGCGUGGUACAGGGAGUCCCUCCAACGCAGGAAAGCCUUUGAGAAGCUCCUUCCUGUUUCUUUACCUCCUCUUCAUUGCACUUUUGUUUCUUUCUCUCCUCUCACCCCCUCAUUCUCACUUUCACCACCCGUAAUCCCCGGUGUAGCCCACGAGGUUACAAUGUUCCUCUGCAUGGCAGCAGGGCUGUGUGGGCUCCUUGUUGUUUUUGUUUUUUUUCUUUUGUUUUUUGUUUUUUUCUUUUUUGCACAUCUCACAUGUAUUUCUCCAUUCUGGGUUCACCCUUUUCCACUCCCCCACAAAGGGAAUCACCUCACUGGAAGGCGUUUUUGUUAAUUAUGUGGGCAGUUACACUGAAACAUUAUAGUCAUACACAGAGUGAGUGACAUAACAUGGUGUCAUGACAGGUCAAAAAUACAAUCUGUGCCUCUGAGCUUGUUUGUGACCGUGUGUCAGACUCAAAGCUUCGAUACUUUAUUGCUGCAUCAGUGUAACUGGCAGGAAAUUGCCUCGGUUCAGCUUAAGGUACGAAACAUAAACAGCAUUAGAUGUUUGCUUUACAGUGACGCACGCACAACUACUGCUGAGCAAAUUCUCACUGCGGAUUGGUUUCAAGAAAGUAUUACUAUGAGUUUCAUAUUGGGAACAAAAGGCUAAAUAAUUUCUUUUGUAAAGUCACUGUCCUGUUCUUCUAGCUCUUACUUCCAUCAUAUUCGUGGUUUUAAUAUAGAACUGGCUGCUAUUAUUCAUAGAAAAAGAUACAGUGUUAAGUUUCAUGAGAUGAGUAAUGUUUGCUUGUUAUAUAAAUGUGUGAUGGCAUCAAAACAUUUAUUUGGAAAUGCCACAGAUUAUUAAUGUAACUCUGGC